rnacentral:lncRNA from 1 species
GACAGGACUCCCUCUCUUAUGUCAACAACAAGUGCUUCCCAUACUUGUUCAAAAGAUCGAAAAGCAUGGACAAUGCUAUGGGCAAAGGUAGACGAAACAACUUGAACUUCAUCGCGGAAAAUGAGCCCACACAAAAGGUGGCAGUAUAAGGAUUGGUGAAAGUCAGGACCAAAUAUUACUUCAUCAGGACUACAACAUGGAGUACACAUUGCUUUCAUUGUCUUCUUGAAUUGUGCAUAAAAAUGAACCCACACAAAAGGUGGCAGUAUAAGGAUUGGUGAAAGUCAGGACCAAAGAUUACUUCAUCAGGACUACAACAUGGAGUACACAUUGCUUUCAUUGUCUUCUUGAAUUGUGCAUUUCUGUACACAUUGGUAGUGGCUGUUCCAGCUGCUAA